AUUGAACGCUGGCGGCAGGCCUAACACAUGCAAGUCGAACGAGUGGCGGACGGGUUAGUAAUGUCUGGGCAACUGCCUGAUGGAUGGCGAUAACUACUGGAAACGGUAGCUAAUACCGCAUACCCUCAGAUGUGCCCAGAUGGGUUUAGCUAGUUGGUGGGGUAACGGCUCACCAAGGCGACGCUCCCUAGCGGGUCGGUGAGGAUGACCAGCAACACGGGAACUGAGACACGGUCCAGACUCCUACGGGAGGCAGCAGUGGGGAAUAGUGCACAAUGGGCGCAAGCCGGAUGAAGCCAUGCCGCGGGUAUGAAGAAGGCCUUCGGUUUGUAAAGUACUUUCAGCGGGGAGGCGGUACCCGCAGAAGAAGCACCGGCUAACUCCGGGCCAGCAGCCGCGGUAAUAC
rnacentral:rRNA from 1 species